CUGCUUGUUCCGAUUGAGGAUGAGUUGCAGUAAUAAUUGCUCAUCUCGAUCCCUCCCUUCCGUUUAUUACUUCAUUCAAUUCAAUUCAUUCCAGCUACUAGCUUGCCUUAUAUAGGAGUAUUAUACUAGUAGUGCAUCUCGACUACUUCCUCCGUUCCAUGGCUCCUAAUCUAAAAAUUCUUCAGCUUAAUUUGACCUGCUUUUCAAGUUUAUGAAAAAUAAAUGUAACGAGAAUAAAUAUAUUCUCAAUACGGUGGAUUUUAAUAAAACUAGCUUGUUUUCAU
rnacentral:sRNA from 1 species